rnacentral:rRNA from 1 species
GCAGGCGCGAAAACUUUACAAUGCGGGAAACCUUGAGAUAAGGGAACUCCGAGUGCCCGGUUAAAUCGGCGCUGUCCAUCAUGUUUAAAAAACUGGUGAAGAAAGGGCCGGGCAAGACCGGUGCCAGCCGCCGCGGUAAUACCGGCGGCUCGAGUGGUGGCCACUAUUACUGGGCUUAAAGCGUUCGUAGCUGGUUUGUUAAAUCUCUGGGGAAAUCUUCCGGCUUAACCGGAAGGCGUCUCAGGGAUACUGGCAGACUAGGGACCGGAAGAGGUGAGGGGUACUCCAGGGGUAGGAGUG